GGAGGGGUGCUUGGAGUGGUUUAUCAGGUUGGUCUUGAAAACCAAUGUGGCAGCAAUGCCACCGUGAGUUCGAAUCUCACCCCCUCCGCCA
rnacentral:tRNA from 1 species